rnacentral:lncRNA from 1 species
UUAUAAACAUGAAAAAUAAAAAGAUACAAGCUGGACCAUGAAUUGACACCCGAGCACUGGCCUGCAGGACCGAGGACGCUGCCCCAGGAGCCGCUGCCAUGUCGCUUCACUUUCUCACCAGUAAGAAUCAUGACAUCAGGAU